rnacentral:lncRNA from 1 species
ACGGGACACCUGCAUCUGCCAACAAGACUGGAAGCAGAAAGGGACAGAGACGGCGAAGUUUGACGGUCUGGAAAGCAGAGACCAGCAGGGCUGACUGCUUGGGAGCGCCUCUCGGGAGGUCCGAGAAGAGAACCGCGAUCUGUUUCAGCACCGGGGCUCAGGACAGUUCCCAGCGGGCUCCGUUUCGUCUCCAGAACCCUGGACAGCUCCUCCAGCUUGGAAUGCACUCCCUCCACCUCCAACCAGAGCUCCCCACAACUGACCCUGCCUUCUUCUGCAAGCUCCAUUUCAUCAAGGGAAACGAUCCUUAUUGCCUCACCAUUUCCCACGUGAAGUCUGUAUUGACAUUCUCAUAGACCUGGGAUAUUGUGUCUGCAGCACAUAGUCCAAUUAUUUUCAUGUUAUCUACUGACAGGUCUAUUUGUCUCCCUGUUACACUGUGAGCUCCGUGAGGGCAGAAACAAUGUUAGUAUUUUCACUGCUGUGUCCCCAGCGCCUGGUCCGGGGCCCGGCACACAGCAGGCAUAUAAUAAGCAUGUGUUGAAUCAAUAAAGGCAUCAAAGAAUAAACCAA